UACGAAGGGAGCUAGCGUUGUUCGGAAUCACUGGGCGUAAAGCGCACGUAGGCGGAUGUGUCAGUCAGGGGUGAAAUCCCGGAGCUCAACUUCGGAACUGCCUUUGAUACAGCACGUCUUGAGUCCGAUAGAGGUGGGUGGAAUUCCCGGUGUAGCGGUGAAAUGCGCAGAUAUCGGGAGGAACACCGAUGGCGAAGGCAGCACUCUGGGCCGGUACUGACGCUGAGGAGCGAAAGCGUGGGGAGCGAACAGG
rnacentral:rRNA from 1 species